rnacentral:rRNA from 1 species
GACGAACGCUGGCGGCGGGCUUAACACAUGCAAGUCGAACGGAAAGGCCCUGCUUUUGUGGGGUGCUCGAGUGGCGAACGGAUGAGUAACACGUGAGUAACCUGCCCUUGACUUUGGGAUAACUUCAGGAAACUGGGGCUAAUACCGGAUAGGAGCACCUGCUGCUUGGUGGGGGUUGGAGAGAUUCGGCGGUUGGUGAUGGACUCGCGGCUUAUCAGCUUGUUGGUGGGGUAGUGGCUUACCAAGGCUUAGGCGGGUAGCCGGCCUGAGAGGGUGACCGGCCACAUUGGGACUGAGAUACGGCCCAGACUCCUACGGGAGGCAGCAGUGGGGAAUAUUGUCUAAUGGGCGGAAGCCUGAUGCAGCAACGCCGCGUGCGGGAUGACGGCCUUCGGGUUGUAAACCGCUUUCGCCUGUGACGAAGCGUGAGUGACGGUAAUGGGUAAAGAAGCACCGGCUAACUACGUG